CAUUGUCGAAUCCCCCUUUUAAAAACUGAGA
rnacentral:rRNA from 1 species